rnacentral:lncRNA from 1 species
UUUUUUUAUUUUUUAUUUUUUUUAUUUUCCCACUGUACAGCAAGGGGAUCAAGUUAUCCUUACUUGUAUACAUUACAAUUACAUUUUUCCCCCACCCUUUGUUCAGUUGCAACAUGAGUAUCUAGACAAAGUUCUCAAUGCUAAUUUAGAAUCAAAACCUAUGGAGCUAGAACAGUCCUAGUAGACAAUCUAGUGUAAGUGGAUGACUUUACGGUAACUAAACUACAAAGCCAUUAAAUACUCAGUCACCUUAGCAAAGGGAAGAAUCAAACUCUGAUGUUAUCUUUCCAUGUUCUCCCCAUCAUAACACUCUUCUUCUGAAACAUUUUAUCAUUUAAUUCCAUGUUAGGAGAUUAAAUAGCUAAAAAGCUAAGGAAAAACGCUAGUCCUUCAUUUUCGUAUUAACUCACAGGAGAAUGCAUGGAAGGAUGGCUUUAUCAGCUAGAUCAUUAAAUGCCCUUUGCUUGCAAAUUUGCAGAACUGAGACACUGAAUCCCAAAAGGGCCCCAUGUGAACUCUGAGACAAAGUGGAACCGUAUCCUGAUACAUUUUUUACUAUGUCACUGAAAUAUUUACAUCAAGUGCUAUAAAUCUGAAUGACACAUUGUGGAAAGCACCUGAAAACCACAGGAAAUAUUUUAUUCUUGUUUAAUAUAUGGAAAUAGUUAAUGGCAGAAAAAGAAUUCAGAGUUCAGAGCAAAUGUGCACUAUCUUUGAACACGAUCUGUAUACUGUCACUUGAGGUUGGAUAUCUACUGCUCAGCAGAUUAUGUUAAUUGGCUACCAUCUAGAACAAGGUAUCAAAGAGACAAGCACAUUUUCCACCUGGCCUGCACAAUGAUAAUCAAACUGCUAGGCAGCAAAUGGUAAUACCGUGAUUAUUCAUGUAAUAUCAAGUCUGACUCCUCAUUAGCCUCCAGUGUGAAUUUAAAUUAAGCCAUGAGGCUGGUAAAUACGUGGCAUACAAACACUUGAGCAUUAUGAAUUUAAAUUCAUUUUAAUGAUUUCCAGAAAGUUUGGCAAAACUCAAAAGGUUUUUACACUAUACAUGCAAAUGAAGGUCAUUCUGGAAUGAUAAUGACUAAACAAAGAAUCACAUUUUUUAAGUUAAAAAUACAACUUUCCUAAUAAGCCAAGCCAGCCUGUGUCAAAUUCUUGAUAUAUGUUUUUUGAUAAUUAACUUCAUAUUUCUCCAACUACCUGGCCGUGGCAGUGCACUUAAGUAGGGACAGAGUUAUGGGGAAAGCAGCAUGAUAUGGAUAAAGCCUGCUUCAUUUUCUAACCAUCUUUGAGACCCACGUUCAGUUUUAGUACUUUAGUCACGAAAUGGCAGAAGGAUAGAAAAAGACUUGGAUUGAUAUCAAAGCACUUAGUUCUACCUGAAACUUGGCUUUCAAAAACCAUGACUGGGAAUGAAACCGCAUUUUUUUUUUUAAUUAAUGUUUUUAACUCUAUGCAGAGUCUCAUCUCACCUGAAUAAUGUCACUUUGAUUUAAGUGAGUCAAUUAGGCUUCAAGAAUAACCAAAACUUUAUAUGAUUAGACAGAUUAUAAAAUUAACUGGAAAAUACAGACUCCUCACGUCAAGGAAAAGAUCCUUACAGUUACAUUGCUUAGAAUCUUAUAGGCACUUUAUAAAUGUUUGUGAAAUUCCAUAAAACAAACGGAUGAAUGAAGGACGAAUAAAUGAGUUUUAGCUGCUGACAGAUUUGAAAUACUGUGUCCUGAUUUUUAAUAUAUCCAUAAAUGUAACUCUUUGUGAUUCCCUUUGAUACUUAAAAUCAUCAAACUUUACUUAAAAGCAGACUGUGCUUACACUUGGUCCCUUUCUUUCUUUCUUUCUUUCUUUCUUUCUUUCUUUCUUUCUUUCUUUCUUUCUUUCUUUCUUUCUUUCUUUCUUUCUUU